CAGGGAGACAACAACUGAUCGUGAUGUCUGAGUUAUUGAUACUUAGGCCAUGAUCCUGUCACCUUAGGUCGAUCGGUACCUCAAGUUGAGAAUCAAAGAAAAGCUGAGCAAUCAGCUUGGAGAUUGAUGAUUGAUUUUAGUUCCUAAACUUUGUCUAGGUCACACCCCGCAAGGGUUACUCCUGGGCCAUUAGCUCAGGUGGUUAGAGCGCACCCCUGAUAAGGGUGAGGUCCCUGGUUCAAGUCCAGGAUGGCCCAUUCGGUGUUGGGGGUUUAGCUCAGUUGGUAGAGCGCCUGCUUUGCAAGCAGGAUGUCAGCGGUUCGAGUCCGCUAACCUCCACUGACGAAUCUUCUGACAACGAGCCAAUGGUGAGAACCGUUGUGUGAUGUGAUUUAGAAAUUUAAGUUUUGCUGGGCAGACCCCUAGCUUUUUUAUCAUUCCAGGUCUCAAUCAAUUGAGGGUUAGGUUGAUAGGACGCUGGGCUCACUGUAAUUCGCAAGAAUUGCAGAGAUGUUCAGCAGAACCUUGACAACUGCAUAGGUAAGUCUGGAAAGAAUAAAGCAUCUCAUGGAUGCAUUGUUCUUGUGAACCAGCUAAUGCAAUCUGCGCGAGUAGAGAGCUGAAGUUGAUGAACGAGAAUGAUGUUUUGAAUUCUUG
rnacentral:tRNA from 1 species